UGUAUAAGUUAUAAAGUCUAGCCUGCCCACUGAUUGAUUUAAAGGGCCGCGGUAAUUUGACCGUGCGAAGGUAGCAUAGUCAGUAGUCUUUUAAUUGAAGGCUUGAAUGAAAGGUUGGACGAGGGAUGAGCUGUCUCCUUUAUGUAAUUUGAAUUUAACUUUUGAGUGAAAAGGCUCAAAUUAUUUAGUGGGACGAUAAGACCCUAUAAAACUUUAUAUAAGUUUAAUUUGGCUUACAAUUUGAGUGAAAAGUAGCUUUAUUAGGCUUAUAUUUCGUUGGGGAGAUGUAGAUAUAAUGUGUAACUGUCUGUUUAAUUUAAUAAUUAUAAUUAGUGUGUGAUCCUUCUUUGUGGAUUAAAAGUAUAAGUUACUUUAGGGAUAACAGCGUGAUUUUCUUUGAGAGUUUUUAUCAACAAGAGUA
rnacentral:rRNA from 1 species